CAAACACCAAGACGUUCAGUCUGUCAGAAAAGGUACCCUCCCUGGGUAAAGCUCUAUGUUUGGCCAAAGCCCAUAGGACUACAUGGGGAACAGACUGCCGUGUCGUAUUUGGCCGUGGUGACAGUUCAGUGAUCCGUGAGGUGCGCUGAAGGGGGAAUAUUAAUCAGAGUUGUGUGCUGCUGCUGUGACCUCUCGUGUGAGGUCGUCUCCUAGGAUCCAGUCUGCAGCAGGUUUUAUGGAUUAUGAUAAUUUCUUCUGUCUAUCUCGUAACCCCAUACUGCUUUAGAGGCCAGCCUAACGAGCCAUAACACACAGCCAUUUGAGUUCCAUUACUGGCUCAACUUCUUUUGGGGGGCGAAGAAGGGAUCACACGCUUCCCAAACGGCAAUUGGUGCCCAAUUCUCCAUAUAGAAUGCCUCCUGUUGAUGACCUCCCACGACACAAGAUUAGUCCAAAAUGGCACCCAUAAAUUCUCUAGUCAAAAGUGAAGGUGGCGUGGUGCCAUUCUGGAUGCAGGCGAAGUUUGUGAGUGGCUGAGCUCUUUAUACUUUUUGCCCGAGUGUGGCCAUUGGAUGAGCAGGACAGUGGUGGUAACCUUUCGCUUUGUGCUCCGACAGAACUCAAUUUCCUCAUGGAUUAAGUCUCAACUCUGAGUCCUGGAGUCCGUCAGUUUAUCCUUUGGCCGAGAGCCAAGAGUGGAGGAACAAAAAUCACCUUCAGUGCACUACUGCCUGUGGGCCUGACAUCAUCUGUGAACAGGAAGCAAAAAGCAUGGACCAUUAAGCACCAUGUUUACAUUAAGCACCCUGACCAUGACGAUGCUGAUGCUGCAGACUUAAGACUGAUGACCGGGGCGUGGUGGUCAUGUGGUGGGCAUUUGCCAAGUCAGGGCAUUUGCCAAGUCAGGAUGGUCUCCGCGGUGCAGCCAGUCAGGAUGGUCUCCGUGAUGCAGCCAGUCAGGAUGGUCUCCGUGAUGCAGGCAGUCAGGAUGGUCUCCGUGAUGCAGCCAGUCAGGAUGGUCUCCGUGAUGCAGCCAGUCAGGAUGGUCUCCGUGAUGCAGCCAGUCAGGAUGGUCUCCGUGAUGCAGCCAGUCAGGAUGGUCUCCGUGAUGCAGCCAGUCAGGAUGGUCUCCGUGAUGCAGCCAGUCAGGAUGGUCUCCGUGAUGCAGCCAGUCAGGAUG
ensembl:lncRNA